rnacentral:rRNA from 1 species
AACGAACGCUGGCGGCGCGCUUAACACAUGCAAGUCGAACGAGAAGGCGUAGCAAUACGCUUGUACAGUGGCGAACGGGUGAGUAAUACGUGGGCGACCUACCCUCGAGUGGGGAAUAACCCGCCGAAAGGCGGGCUAAUGCCGCGUACGCUUCCAUCUUUAUGGAGGUGGAAGGAAAGCCGUGCCGUGGGCACGGCGCUCAAGGAUGGGCUCACGUCCUAUCAGCUUGNGGUAGGUAACGGCUACCAAGGCUCCGACGGGUAGCUGGUCUGAGAGGACGAUCAGCCACACUGGCACUGCGACACGGGCCAGACUCCUACGGGAGGCAGCAGUGAGGAAUAUUGCGCAAUGGGCGAAAGCCUGACGCAGCGACGCCGCGUGGGGGAU